rnacentral:rRNA from 1 species
AUCCUACGGGAGAGCAGUGGGGAAUAUUGCACAAUGGGCGCAAGCCUGAUGCAGCCAUGCCGCGUGUAUGAAGAAGGCCUUCGGGUUGUAAAGUACUUUCAGCAGUGAGGAAGGUGGGUAUGUUAAUAGCAUAUUCAUUUGACGUUAGCUGCAGAAGAAGCACCGGCUAACUCCGUGCCAGCAGCCGCGGUAAUACGGAGGGUGCGAGCGUUAAUCGGAAUUACUGGGCGUAAAGCGCAUGCAGGUGGUUUGUUAAGUCAGAUGUGAAAGCCCGGGGCUCAACCUCGGAAUUGCAUUUGAAACUGGCAAACUAGAGUACUGUAGAGGGGGUAGAAUUUCAGGUGUAGCGGUGAAAUGCGUAGAGAUCUGAAGGAAUACCGGUGGCGAAGGCGGCCCCCUGGACAGAUACUGACACUCAGAUGCGAAAGCGUGGGGAGCAAACAGGAUUAGAUACCCUGGUAG